UCCGUGUUAACCACGGCAGUCUCUCUAGAGUGCCCAACUGAAUGCUGGCAACUAAAGACAAGGGUUGCGCUCGUUGCGGGACUUAACCCAACAUGUCACCACACGAGCUGACGACAGCCAUGCAGCACCUGUCUCCCGGUCGUAUUGCUACGAAAGACGUAUUUCUACGUUUGUCCGGGGAUGUCAAACCCAGGUAAGGUUUUGCGCGUUGCUUCGAAUUAAACCACAUGAUCCACCGCUUGUGCGGGCCCCCGUCAAUUCCUUUGAGUUUUAGUCUUGCGACCGUACUUCCCAGGCGGGGUACUUAUUGCGUUAGCUCCGGCUCUGCAGGGGUCUAUUCCCACAAAGCCUAGUACCCAUCGUUUACAGCGUGGACUAC
rnacentral:misc_RNA from 1 species